GUGCUCGCUUCGGCAGCACAUACACUAAAAUGGGAACGAAGCGGAGGAUUAGCGUGGCCCCUGCGCCAAGGAUGACACGCACAUUCGUGAAGCGUUGCACAUUUUG
ensembl:snRNA U6 U6 spliceosomal RNA